rnacentral:misc_RNA from 1 species
UCCCUGGUGGUAUGUUUUCAUUGUAAAACUGGUUCUGAAUAAAAGAUAUAUCUGUUUCACAGGGAAACAACCUUGUGUGAUGCCUCUUUUGGACCACUGCAAAAGUAAUGAGAGGUCUAUAACCAGGGACACUAGAACAAGCUUCUCGAAUCGCUUGCAACUCCUCAUGGAGCACCUUAUAAAACUGAGUUUCACUCACUCCAUCCCUGAAGAAUAUUAUCCUUUUGGGAAGUUUGCCUACUUCCUGGUAAAAAUCAUCUAGCAAUUCUUUCACCAUUGCACCAAGG